rnacentral:lncRNA from 1 species
UUUUUUUAAAAUGAUGAUUUUCGAAUUCCAUCAUUAAAAAUGUGAGUCGCACAAUUUACAAGAGCAUAAAUUGGAUUUGCAAAUCAAAACCUAAAACGGAAAACAUGUUUCUUAACAAGAAUAAAGACUGAUAAAAUACAAGAGACUCUUUUACAGAUGAAAGUAAAAAACAACUCUUGUCCUAGCUCUAGAAUUCAUGUCCUUGAAUGGUCACCAUGAGAAUGUCAAAGAGCAUCGCGCAUAACCUGCAAAAAGAUGACAAUGUCAAUAUGUGAAUAAAAGAAAAUGAUAUUUUAAUGAUGUCGCUUCUUAUAAUAAAAUCGAGGCGACGAUACAUGCCCCACAAUCCUUAUUACGGGAUUUUAGUAUUUCGCCAAGAUUUUAUCAUAAGAGAAAACAUCAUUAAAAUUAUCAAUCCACGGCCAUCAAUCGAAUGUCCACUUUUAUUCCAAAAGUUUCGUAUGCAAAAGUGUUAUUGAUUUUUGAAAAAUUGAUUUGUGAUUUUACUCAUAGAAAAUUAGAGUGAUUUUUAUUUUGAGGAAUUUGUACACAAAAUGAUUUGCAUUAUAGUCCCAAAAUGCGAGAAUGAGAAAAUUUGAUAAAAAAUGCAAUUUCAAUUUUUGUGUCCCAAUAUAAUCACAACUUGAAAGUUUUUUUUUUCUCUUUCUUUUUUUUCGAAAUGAUUUUGAGCCCAUAACUAGAAAUUUAAAUAGAACCAUGUGUUCAACAGGGCCAAAUCAAAAUGUUUAGAACUUGCAUUCAGAUGCUCACUUGUCAAAAGUGAUUGUCAAUUUUUCAAUCAUAAGCUUGCAUCACCGAGGGCAUUCGAUUGAUUUCCGCAAAUUUCAAGAUGAGAAAGCAAUACAAAAUGAGCAAAUAAAAAAAGGGAAAUGAUACUUACAAUGGGUGCCGACCUUUGUCUCAUGUUUUUUUUUCAAAAUUACAUAGACAUGCACAUGGAAUGUGGUUCGAUUUCUACUCUAUACGGCCCAAAAUGGAGCCAUGGGAUCACCGGACUGAACCAACAAGGUCGUGGCUGGGUCGGGUUACCCAUGACUCCGGCUUCGUCAAAGAACCGACCCAUGUCGCACGGUUGCAGACCGGGGUGGGUACCUUUGACGUGAAGAAAGAGAUUUCGGGGUUAAGGUGGGCGACUCGUACUACGCGAUUGUAGUCGGAGUGGUAUCCACCUCAACACCAUCCUAAGUGAUCCUAUGCGGCCCAGGUCCGGCGGCAGAUUGUGUGUGCCAUGGUGUAGUGCAAUGCAGAGAAUACAUGCACAACAAUUUAUAGGCAAACAACACUCCGUACAUAAAAAUAAACCAUACAUUCCUACAUUUCCCUGCAAGACAAAGGUGAGCAAACACUUCCCCUUAUACCUCCCAUUCUGUAAGAACAUUUAACACCUACAAUGUUAGGGGCGUACCUUGAAUCCUCGCUGCCAAACAAAAAUACUUUUGAACAAGAUUAAUUUUGGCUUAAGUCCUCUAAGGUUUAAAACCAAGUCCCCAGCGGAGUCGCCAAGCUGUCGCGACCUACCCUCGGGGGGGAGGGAGCGGGUUUAGGGGUAUUGCCUAAGGACAGGCCUAAGGCCCAUGAUUAGGCGCGAGCUCUCCCAAGCCCAUACCCCGCGUGACGUUGGGAUAUUCUUAAUAAAUUUUGCACAAAAGGAGUCGCCACUAGCCUAUUGGGGUCGGCUAGAAAUCAAGUGAGGCAUGGGAGCGUGCCUCACUUCCUACGCAACCAGAGAAUUUAGGUUCGGAGACUUGAUUACACUAAUUAACCAAUUAGUGCCCUUUCGGUACCUAAUCUUGUUCAUUUUAACAAAAUGAUUUUUGGUAGGCAAUUUGGAUUGAUUUCAUAUUUAUCCACUAACAUGUGAGAUGAUCAUGCAGGUGCGCAAUCAUUAAAGUAAAUCAUAACUACCAAGAUCUUAAUUGCAGUAAAAUUAACAUACCACUAAGGAAUUGCGAACAUACUUAAACAGGUGAAUUAAACAUGCAAUAUAAUCAAUAUACAAGCAAUUUAAGGCCUAAAUACACUAUAAAUGCAAUACAUGGCCAUUCCUAAACAAAACCUACAUUUUUUGGAUUUU